GGGGGUGUCCUGGCUUCGACGGGGGUUGCGAAAUCGCCUGGCGCAUGCCGAGGGGGCAGCUUUCCUCGUUAAUCCAGCGGCAAAACCACAGACGCCAACGACGACGUCUACGCUCUCGCCGCUUAAGGCGUAAGCCCCGAAACCACUUGUGUCCGUGCUCGUGGAGGUAGGGUCAUCAUCACGGAAUGGUUUCCGGCGGCGACCCGCCAACCGGAAACAAGAUCUAGCGGG
rnacentral:tmRNA from 1 species